GGAUGAUGCUACUGAUCAGAAAGAUAUUAAUCUCACACGAAGUUCCUUCUCUUCAAAUGUCCAACGUUUGACCAAUCCAGCACAAAGAAUGAUGAUGCUAGUUGCUAGCAUAGAUCUACUUUAUCAGACUGAACAAUUUUUCAGUUGUUAAUCUCUGAAAAUGCAGAAUGCUUGUUCUGAAACAUAGAACUUGUGUGGUGUUGCUCCGUACAGGAAUUGCUUGUAUGCAUUCCUAAAUAGUGGACAGGUGGUAGCUAGACUGAAGCUCGCUUGUGAAACAUCAGUCAUAAACAUGUAGACGACCAUGGUUUAACCAGUGAAGGGGCUAAAAUUCAGUAGCCCAAAUUAGGAUUACACUUGACCUUUUCUAUAGAGAAACCUAGGUACUGUAGUAGCAUGUGUUUAGGUGGUAGAAACUAGGGUUCUACCCGAUCUAGGGCGUAGCCUGUAAGGAAAGGAGGGAGGAGGUCGGAGGAGAUUGCGCGGCGGCCGGCGGCUGGGCGCCGUCCUUGCGGCUGGUGCGACGGCGGCGGACGCAAGAGGCGGCUAGGGUUUAGGUCUCCCGGCUCCCUAAGGGAAGCUGAGCAAAUAUUGAUUGCUUCUUACUUGAUUAGAUUGAUACAUCUCCUCUCCUUAUAUAGAGAGGUUUACUUGACUCCUAAGCAAACGAUCCUAAUACGAUAAGAUAAUUGGGCUAAGCCCCUAAUAAUGAUUAAGAUACUUGGGCCAUAACCCACUUGGCUAAGCCCCUAAUAUGCUGGUCAUAACACUUCUCCCCGCCUGCACAAACAGCUCGUCCUCGAGCUGUAAGGUGGGGAAGCGCUUGCUGAACUCCUCGAGGUGAUCAACCAGCGUCAAACACCUUCGCGACAGUUGGGGCGGCAAGGUCGGCAGCGACGACGUCCUCCGGAAUGUAGUCUGCAACCUCCAGGUAGAAGAGUCGUGGGCAGGCGUGGCCGGGCGUGUAGGGCUCGUCGCAGUUGAAGCACAACCCUUGGCGGCGACGCUCGAGUAGCUCGACUGAGGUGAGCCAGUGGAACGGGCGUGCCGCGGUCGCGGCGAGGGGUGCCGCAGAAGCCUGAGCAGGCCGACCCAGUGGCCCGGGACGGUGACUCCUGCUGGACGGCCACCGCGCGGCGCUCGAACGCGCGGGCGUAGUACAUGGCCGUCUGGAGAUCUUGGGGUCCCUGAAGCUCCACGUCCACGCGAAUGUGAUCCGGAAGUCCACCGACAAAGAGGUCGGCCCGCUGCUGCACCGUCACGCCCGACGCGUGGCUUGCCAGGGCCUGGAAAUGGUUGGCGAAGUCCUGAACCGUGGAGGUGAAGGGAAGGCGGCCUAGCUCCGCCAGGCGGCUCCCGCGGAUCGGGGGCCCAAAACGAAGGAGGCAGAGCUCGCGGAAGCGCUCCCAAGGGGGCAUGCUGCCCUCGUCCUGCUCAAGGGUGUAGUACCAGGUCUGUGCCGCGCCACGGAGGUGGUAAGAGGCGAGCCAGGUGCGCUCGUGCGCUGCCCGCGAAAGAACUGGUCGCACUGGUUGAGCCAGUUGAGGGGGUCUUUCGUGCCGUCAUAGGUGGCGAAGUCGAUCUUGGCGAACCGCGGCGGUGUCUGGGUCGGAGUGCCGUGUUGAGCUGGCUCGGAGGUGCGGAGCAGCGAGGCGGGUGGCGCCUGGUCGGAGUACUCCGGGUAGGGACCCGCGGAGCCGGAUGGCCUGCCGAACUGUGGAAACGGGGUCGGCUGCUUCGGAGCCGUGGUGUAGACUGGCGAUGGCGAAGACCCAGCCGCCCAAGCUGGUAGUGGCAACGGGGAGGGCGGGAACCGGACCUGUUGUAUCGGCAGGCCGGCCGGUGACGGCAGGCCGGAGCUGGGCAGAGGUGGCGCCUGGAGUUGCAUCGGCUAUUGUGGAGAGUGGGCGGACGCGGCAGUAGCCGCGGUGGCAGUAAGGGGCCACUGCGACCAGAGGGGAGCCGCGGCUGGGGGCCGCUGCAGGUGCAGCAGCGGCGGUGGCAGCCCGCUGUGGUGCCCCGCCUGGAACGGCAGUAGUGGUGUCCUGCCAAUUGCAGGCGCGCCCUGGGACGGCCACGGCAGCCAGAGCUGGACCGCGGCUGAGGGCGGCUGUAGGUGCAGCAGCGAUGGAGGCCCGCUGGUGUGUCCCACCUGGAACGGCAGCAGGGGCGUCCCGCUCGGGCCAGAUGCGUUCUGGAUCGGCCAGUGCAGCACCGGAUGGCUGUAGGCGGGGGCGCAGCCGGCGGGGUGGCGUGCGGGCUGGCCAGGUACAGGGCGAUGCCCUGGACGGCCGUCACGAGGUCCCGCAAGGUGCUGGACAUCUCCUCCGGCGUGAAGACGAGGAUCGUCGAAGGUGAUCGGGGCCGGCGGCGUUCGAGACCCGGCCAUGGUCAUCGAGGCGGUGGUGAUGAUGGGCAGCGGCGGCGUGGGUGGGGAUGACAACAUGAUCGAACCUGAGUCUCUGGAUACCAAAUUGGUAGAAACUAGGGUUCUACCCGGUCUAGGGCGUAGCCUGUAAGGAAAGGAGGGAGGAGGUCGGAGGAGAUUGUGCGGCGGCCCGCGGCUGGGCGCCGUCCUUGCGGCUGGUGCGACGGCGGCGGACACAAGUGGCGGCUAUGGUUUAGGUCUUCCGUCUCCCUAAGGGAAGCCGAGCAAAUAUUGAUUGCUUCUUGCUUGAUUAGAUUGAUACAUCUCCUCUCCUUAUAUAGAGAGGUUUACUUGACUCCUAAGCAAACGAUCCUAAUACGAUAAUAUAAUUGGGCUAAGCCCCUAAUAAUGAUUAAGAUACUUGGGCCAUAACCCACUUGGCUAAGCCCCUAAUAUGCUGGUCAUAACAUUAGGUUAGUAGGUCGUAGCAAAUGCAAAAUCAUGCUCAGUAAGGCCAUGUAUAGAUGUAUGCUAGUUACAUUAGCACAUACAUACAUGGAGAAUUAAUUUACCAAUAAUGUCAAGUGCUACCUUCUGCCUUUAAUUGCAACUGAAAAAGCUCUGCUCUGAAAGUAUGGUUGUGAUCAAUCACCUGUUCCGUUGUCUUUUUCUUCUCAAACUUGAAAAAAAAAACAUGUGAUUUUGCUCAACCUGGCCAUCAUAAAACCAAAUACAUCGACCAAUCAUGUCUUUAAAGCAAAAGAGCACCCUCCCAAUCAAAUCUGCUACAGCAGAAAGGAACAUACACUACGUAAGAACUUGGAAGAAGGAACAAAUUAAUUAGGCCAGGAACCAUAUCUUACAGCAGGCCAAGUAAAAGGGUGUAGUCGUGUUGGACGCCAUAGCAGGCAAGCGGACCACCACCGAUAUGCGGUACCAUGACAUGACCAUGCUCUUGACCUACAGCACAGUCGUCGCGCCGUCCUCCUCGAUCUGCGGGGCUUCCCUCCUCGCCGUCAAGCCGAUGGUAUAUAUAUUUGUUAAAAGACCUUGAGAAUAUUAGUAAGUGGGCUUAUUCAUUGAAACAGAUAAAUAGAUAAGUAAUAAUCGCUUCAACUUUGAAUGGAAGUCAAAGGUAAGGUACUGGUUAACAUCCUACAAGAUGAUAAUCACAAAUAGGAAUAGCUACACACACAGAGAGAGACCAUGAGAAUAUCAGUAAGUGGGCUUCAACCCAAAGGCGUUUUUCUCGCAUCAAUAUUGGAAUCCACUGCACUGAUUGCCUUCUCUGUAUGUCUUUAGCAUAUUUGCUAGCACUGAAAUCUAUAGGGAAAAUUUUAUGACGCAGACUAUGAAAGAAAAGCAUGAAGCACAGUACAACAUAAUUAGCUCACCGCUUCGUAUGAUC
rnacentral:lncRNA from 1 species